ACGUCUCACCGAGCUGAGAAAAUAAAUUUCUUAGAGACGAUAUUUUUUGAUUCUCCGGUGGCAACACGGCGAGUGUCAUGUUGAGUGUUACGUAUGUAGUUGUGAGAAAUGGCAGAUGAUUCAACCAGAAUUAUUUUCAUCAUUCUUUCGUCAGUAGGUGUUUUCAGUACGGUGCAGUGCUACUUUCAAAAUGUUUUCCGCCGCUUACGAUGAGGUGUUAAUUGAGCUGGUGCGCAAAUAUCGCGUUCUAUAUGAUUUGUCCGACCCAAAGUAUAUGGACACAAAAUACAAUCACAAAAAAUGGGAAGCAAUCGCCGAUCAGCUGGAAAAGGAAGUCCUUACGUAUCUUCAGCAGUACAGCAAUGGACCAUGGAUCGAUAUCCGGAUUUGGGAGCGCUUUUUGCCGGGUGCUUUAAACGUUUGACACAGUCUCCCAGCUGUGUGUUGCAUGCCGACCGUACUCCCCUCCGCUUCAGCCACUGCUGCUUCAUCCAGCGGACCGAUGUCGAUGUACACUCAGAAAACUGAACGUGUGAAAAUAAAAAGGAGGGCUUUAUGAAACGACACGAAUUAAGAAAGAGAUAUCGCAGCCAGUAGGGUAAAGUAUAUAACUUGGACAUUCAUAUAAUUUGGACAGGCUAAUCGGUCUAAGCCAAUUUCCAAUGAGAUGGUAUGGAAUAUAUGUAAGGGAAAUCAUGUAUUGCAUUAUUAAUACACUAUGCUACUUAUUAAUGAUGACCAUUUUCAUACCAAUAACAAAUUGGCUUUAAAAAUAUUAAAAUUGUAAAUUGUAUCAACAGAACAUC